UCCCUGACAGUCCAGUGGUUAAGGCUCUGCACUUCUAAUGCAGGCGACACAGGUUCUAUCCCUGGUCAGGGAA
rnacentral:tRNA from 1 species